rnacentral:lncRNA from 1 species
CUUGCGGUACAUUUAGCCCCGGCGCCGAUCGCAGCCUCAGUCCCAGUCCUUGACGAACAUCCCUGCCACACCGCCCGCCCGAUCGAUGCGAUCCCCCACCACCUCACCAACGAAUCACCGAGCCACCGGGGAACUCAACAAUACAACAAUUCACCCCUCCACCACCGGGGGCCGGGGAGUUUCGAGAGCAGAGGAGGUGAUGGUGAUGACGGUGGGUGGGUGGGCGUCGUCUCCGGCGCCGGCGAGCGGUGGCG